CUCGGGGGCGGACAUCCGGGCAAUUUCUACCGCCUGGCAACCCUCGCGGUGAAAACAAAGACCAAAAACUCGCAGAAAACGGUACUUUGGGAUGUUUGUUGAGACUCCCCUGAACAGUGUAACAAGAUUAGUCCUACGUGUGUAACAUAUAUAAAUUUGGUUGUUCAGGAUUACUUCAAAGUUGAGUUUGUGUUGUUUUCUCGAGUUUUCACCGGCUCCACCGGCGUUCCACAGCAGCGCGCACAAAGCCCAUAGAAAUACGUGGUACAGUGGCGCGCGUCUUAGCAACGUAGAACGUCUGUGACGUAGCUCCGCCCCCGAGGAUA
rnacentral:sRNA from 1 species